rnacentral:rRNA from 1 species
UACGUAGGGGGCAAGCGUUGUCCGGAUUUAUUGGGCGUAAAGAGCGUGUAGGCGGCCAGAAAAGUCCGCUGUGAAAACUCGAGGCUCAACUUCGAGCUGUCGGUGGAAACUUUCUGGCUAGAGUCCGGAAGAGGAGAAUGGAAUUCCUGGUGUAGCGGUGAAAUGCGCAGAUAUCAGGAAGAACACCCGUGGCGAAGGCGGUUCUCUGGGACGGUACUGACGCUGAGACGCGAAAGCGUGGGGAGCAAACAGG